AUUCUUAUAGUUUAUACCAAAAUAUAGCUCUGAAAAAGCUAAGAAAUAAUUAUUAAGAAUA
rnacentral:tRNA from 1 species